rnacentral:lncRNA from 1 species
UUAUUCAGAGUCAAUUUCCAGUAGGCUUAAUCAAAUACAUUUCAAAAAAAUUUACUGAGCAUCACUCGUGUGUAUUAUUACACAGGGAUGGGAUACAGGAAUCCAGUAGUUCUGAGCUUUAGUGGUGUGUCAAAGUCAGUAGGAGGGCUUGUUAAAGCACAGAUUGCCUUAUCUUCAGGUGUUGGCUGGAAGAAAUUCUUUGGACAGCCUUGAGUUUUUCAGGCCAGCACUUUAAAAGUUAUUAGAAAGUGUUAGUGUUGUUCAAGUCUUAAUAGGCAAAAGUUGACAGGCCUAUUAAAGAAGGCGCAGAGGGGCCUAGCUAGAGUUUGGUCAAAGAAAGAGAAAUCUUUGUCAGGUAUCACCUCAGGCUUCCCCAGCCCACUGAGGAGGAAUGGUGGUCAAGAAGAAGAAAGAACAAAGGCUCAAGGGAUCAACAUA